CUAGCGUGCGCAGGCCCUGCACGAGUGCAGAGACUCAACGCAGACGCUGCCCAGACUGCCCUGAAGAGGGCGCUGCUGCUCUGUCUGACAUUCUCCUCAACAGAACCACAUUCUGAAUCCCUGAACAUAAAUAUAGUGAGGCCUAACCAGAAGUAAGAACCCGGAAGCAUAGCGUCAUCCACAUUAGGAAGAUGACAUCUCUGAUGGAAGGAGCGAGGACACUCAUCACAGCAUAUCAAGCUACCCUGGCUUCUACAGAUGAAGCAAUCGUCAUCGUUAUCCUGAUCAUGAUGCCAAGACAGAGAAGAGAGGAAGUGUGUUUCCGGUGUCCUGGAACGCACCCUGUCUGGUUGCCGGGCGAAUUAGCUUGUUGGGA